rnacentral:rRNA from 1 species
AGUGAACGCUGGCGGUAGGCCUAACACAUGCAAGUCGAACGGCAGCACAGUAAGAGCUUGCUCUUACGGGUGGCGAGUGGCGGACGGGUGAGGAAUACAUCGGAAUCUACUUUUUCGUGGGGGAUAACGUAGGGAAACUUACGCUAAUACCGCAUACGACCUACGGGUGAAAGCAGGGGAUCUUCGGACCUUGCGCGAUUGAAUGAGCCGAUGUCGGAUUAGCUAGUUGGCGGGGUAAAGGCCCACCAAGGCGACGAUCCGUAGCUGGUCUGAGAGGAUGAUAACCCACCAGGGAGGGUGACCGCGCACAAGGCGCCUGAGGGAGGCAGCAGUCGCGGACGGGGGACAGUAGUCGCGAGUCUGGUACAACCGUCGCAAGCGAGAUACAACGACCUACCGGUUGUGAAGACCUUCUGCUGGGAAAGAACCGCAUCAGCCUAAGACCCCGCUGUUCUGACGGUACCCAAAGAAGAAGCACCGGCUAACUACGUG